rnacentral:rRNA from 1 species
GACGAACGCUGGCGGCGUGCCUAAUACAUGCAAGUAGAACGCUGAAGAGAGGAGCUUGCUCUUCUUGGAUGAGUUGCGAACGGGUGAGUAACGCGUAGGUAACCUGCCUGGUAGCGGGGGAUAACUAUUGGAAACGAUAGCUAAUACCGCAUAAAAUGGAUUAUCGCAUGAUAAUUCAUUGAAAGAUGCAAAUGCAUCACUACCAGAUGGACCUGCGUUGUAUUAGCUAGUUGGUGGGGUAACGGCUCACCAAGGCGACGAUACAUAGCCGACCUGAGAGGGUGAUCGGCCACACUGGGACUGAGACACGGCCCAGACUCCUACGGGAGGCAGCAGUAGGGAAUCUUCGGCAAUGGACGAAAGUCUGACCGAGCAACGCCGCGUGAGUGAAGAAGGUUUUCGGAUCGUAAAGCUCUGUUGUAAGUCAAGAACGUGUGUGAGAGUGGAAAGUUCACACAGUGACGGAGCUACCAGAAA